rnacentral:ncRNA from 2 species
CUCUUAUCAAGAGUGGCAGAGGGACUGGCCCUAUGACGCCCGGCAACCGUUCCAUUUAUGGAAUUGGUGCUAAAUCCUGCAAAACAGCUAUGCUGUUUUGAAAGAUGAGAG